rnacentral:rRNA from 2 species
UUUGAACCUGCGGAAGGAUCAUUAAAGAGACGUUGCCCUUCGGGGUAUACCUCCCACCCUUUGUUUAUACAUACCUUUGUUGCUUUGGCAGGCCCGGCUUACGGCCCACCGGCUCCGGCUGGUCCGCGUCUGCCAGAGGAAACCCAAACUCUGUUUGUUAAUAUUGUCUGAGUACUAUAUAAUAGUUAAAACUUUCAACAACGGAUCUCUUGGUUCUGGCAUCGAUGAAGAACGCAGCGAAAUGCGAUAAGUAAUGUGAAUUGCAGAAUUCAGUGAAUCAUCGAAUCUUUGAACGCACAUUGCGCUCCCUGGUAUUCCGGGGAGCAUGCCUGUUCGAGCGUCAUUACAACCCUCAAGCUCUGCUUGGUAUUGGGCCUCGCCGGUUCCGGCGGGCCUUAAAAUCAGUGGCGGUGCCAUUCGGCUUCAAGCGUAGUAAUUCUUCUCGCUUCGGAGACCCGGGUGCGUGCUUGCCAGCAACCCCCAAUUUUUUCAGGUUGACCUCGGAUCAGGUAGGGAUACCCGCUGAACUUAAGCAUAUC